rnacentral:misc_RNA from 1 species
UACGUAGGGGCCAAGCGUUGUCCGGAAUUAUUGGGCGUAAAGAGCUCGUAGGCGGCCCAUCAAGUCGGAGGUGAAAUCUCAAGGCUCAACCUUGAAAUUGCAUCCGAUACUGAUGGGCUUGAGGCAGGUAGGGGAAAGCGGAAUUCCUGGUGUAGCGGUGAAAUGCGCAGAUAUCAGGAGGAACACCGGUGGCGAAGGCGGCUUUCUGGGCCUGUACUGACGCUGAGGAGCGAAAGCGUGGGGAGCAAACAGG